CUCCUUCUGGAAUUUCAAGGACUACUACAAAGAGUGUAGAUCAAGAGAUCACGUGAAAUAUAAUGGCAAUCGCUGACAUUCUAUUAUUGUGAACCUUGCUAACUAGCUGCUAAGAAAGUUUACGCUAAGGUGCUAUUAUUUUCAUCGAAUAUGUACAUUACAAAAGUUUUUUAAAAACGCAAAAUAUAUGAAAUAAAAUAAAUAAGAUAAAAUAUGAUAAAAAUUUUUAACAGUUUACAGACUCGUAAGACAUCGAAAAAUUAAAAAAGAAAAAAAUGAUAUUUAUCAAUUAUUAAUUCUAUUUAUUAUUUUACCAGUUUUCUUCCUAGAGAAACAUGUUGUUCGAGAAGAGGAUAUAAAAGACAAAGGAGAAGCAAGAUCCAAGGCGAACAAGGUGGAAGCACUAGACGCGCGAAAGCGCAAUGUCGCCUCUCAAGUUAAAGUGAAAGUCGACUCCGUUGUGAUCGUUGAUCCAAAUCGGCGCGAGAGAUCGAUAAGAACGAUUCCAAUACGAUAUCCUCGUGAGCAACUAUAAAUAACUUGUGUUUCUUUAUAUCUCUUUCCAAAUUUGUAUAUAUCUAUUAUAUAUGCAUACAUGUGUACGUGCGCGCGUGUGCGUGUACGCGUAUGUGUACGCGUGUGUAUGGAGUCUUGUCUCUUUUUUUAAAAAUAUAUGAAAUAAGAAAUACUAAUUAAGAACUUUGAAUUAAUUAAUAAAAGCUCGGAAAGAAAAGUGACAUGUCGAAAAUGUUAUUAGUUUCUAUAAUAACUCAUGUGUGUGAGUAUAUUUUAUUCGCAAGAUCAAUUAAUUAAGUCUCGAAGGAUGUCUUAUUGUACGUUGUAAUUUAACAAUACAAAAUUUAUCUUUAAUCAUUAACAUAAUUUUACGAAAGGAAAUGUUUGAAUUAUCUGUAUUUUCCUUUUUCCUUGUUCUUAUUAUUAUUAUUUUUUUGUUUAAUCCGUGUUAUUCGUGUACAAUCCGUUCCUAUCUUUAUGAUUUAAUAUCUUUAUAUAAAAGAUACAAUAUGAAACUUUUAGUAUAAGUUACAUUAGUAUAACUGUACUUUACUAACAAAUAGUAUAAUCCAUACUUAAUAAAUGUUAAUAUUCGGAUAUAAACUAACAAUUAAUUUUAUAACAAAAAGUGAAAUGAAACUUAUAAAAUAUUAAUAUAUAUGAGUGCGUGGAUUCCAAAUUACGUCGUAGUUUAGAUAGUUAAGAAGAGUCUCUUAGAUAUUAUUCUCUUAUUUGCAGCCUAAGUCAAAGCGUCUAUUGCAUGGCAUUCAUUAUUUCAUUUAGGUUACCUAUUAAUGAUUAUAUUGAGAAUAAAUGUGGUUUAAAACAAAA